UACAGAGGGUGCAAGCGUUAAUCGGAAUUACUGGGCGUAAAGCGUGCGUAGACGGUUAUGUAAGUCGGGUGUGAAAGCCCCGGGCUCAACCUGGGAAUUGCAUUCGAGACUGCAUAGCUAGGGUGCGGAAGAGGGAAGCGGAAUUUCCGGUGUAGCGGUGAAAUGCGUAGAUAUCGGAAGGAACACCUAUGGCGAAGGCAGCUCGCUGGGACGUUACUGACGCUGAGACGCGAAAGCGUGGGGAGCAAACAGG
rnacentral:rRNA from 1 species